AUUGAACGCUGGCGGCAGGCCUAACACAUGCAAGUCGAGCGAGCGGCGGACGGGUGAGUAAUGUAUGGGGACUGCCCGAUAGAGGGGGAUAACUACUGGAAACGGUGGCUAAUACCGCAUACUAUCGGAUAACCCAUAUGGGAUUAGCUAGUAGGUGGGGUAAAGGCUCACCUAGGCGACGAUCGCUCGCUGGUCUGAAAGGAUGAUCAGCCACCCUGGGUGGGAGACACGGCCCAUACUCGUACGGAGGCAGCAGUGGAGAAUAUGGCACAAUGGGCGCAAGCCUGAUGCAGCCAUGCCGCGUGUAUGAAGAAGGCCUUAGUGUUGUAAAGUACAUUCAGCGUGGAGGCGUUACCCGCAGAAGAAGGACCGGCUAACUCCGUGCCAGCAGCCGCGGUAAUAC
rnacentral:rRNA from 1 species